CAGCCGCCGCGGUAAUACGGAGGGUGCAAGCGUUAAUCGGAAUUACUGGGCGUAAAGCGCACGCAGGCGGUCUGUCAAGUCAGAUGUGAAAUCCCCGGGCUUAACCUGGGAACUGCAUUUGAAACUGGCAGGCUAGAGUCUUGUAGAGGGGGGUAGAAUUCCAGGUGUAGCGGUGAAAUGCGUAGAGAUCUGGAGGAAUACCGGUGGCGAAGGCGGCCCCCUGGACAAAGACUGACGCUCAGGUGCGAAAGCGUGGGGAGCAAACAGGAUGAGAUACCCCUGUAGUCCCUGUCUCUUAUAC
rnacentral:rRNA from 1 species